AAACCGACCGGCGGCCCAUUGGAAACCAUGGGGUACGGUAACAGUGGUAGGGAUGAUCCGGCGCCGCGAGGCGGCCGGUGAAGUGGACGAUCCGCAGCGAAGCCCCUGGCGUUGACGGUAGCGGUUUCCAGGCCCUCGGGCCUGGACUCGGACCUGUUUGAGGCUCGCCCCCAAACUUGGCCAGUCGCAGCCGAACAUGGGGAACGUUCACAGACUAAGUGGAAGUGGGUGGAGCGCGACGCCGCUCUGCUUAAGAUAUAGUCGGUCCCCCAGGGAAACUUGGGGGGGAAACGUUCCGUAGGUGAACCUGCGGAAGGAUCAUUA
rnacentral:rRNA from 1 species